GUGAACGCUGGCGGUAGGCCUAGCACAUGCAAGUCGAACGGCAGCACAGUAAGGGCUUGCUCUUACGGGUGGCGAGUGGCGGACGGGUGAGGAAUACAUCGGAAUCUACUUUUUCGUGGGGGAUAACGUAGGGAAACUUACGCUAAUACCGCAUACGACCUACGGGUGAAAGCAGGGGAUCUUCGGACCUUGCGCGAUUGAAUGAGCCGAUGUCGGAUUAGCUAGUUGGCGGGGUAAAGGCCCACCAAGGCGACGAUCCGUAGCUGGUCUGAGAGGAUGAUCAGCCACACUGGAACUGAGACACGGUCCAGACUCCUACGGGAGGCAGCAGUGGGGAAUAUUGGACAAUGGGCGCAAGCCUGAUCCAGCCAUACCGCGUGGGUGAAGAAGGCCUUCGGGUUGUAAAGCCCUUUUGUUGGGAAAGAAAAGCAGCAGGUUAAUACCCCGCUGUUCUGACGGUACCCAAAGAAUAAGCACCGGCUAACUUCGUG
rnacentral:rRNA from 1 species